UGAGGAAUAUUGGUCAAUGGGCGAGAGCCUGAACCAGCCAAGUAGCGUGCAGGAUGACGGCCCUAUGGGUUGUAAACUGCUUUUAUAAGGGAAUAAAGUGGGUCUCGUGAGACUUUUUGCAUGUACCUUAUGAAUAAGGACCGGCUAAUUCCGUGCCAGCAGCCGCGGUAAUACGGAAGGUCCGGGCGUUAUCCGGAUUUAUUGGGUUUAAAGGGAGCGUAGGCCGGAGAUUAAGCGUGUUGUGAAAUGUAGUGGCUCAACCUCUGCACUGCAGCGCGAACUGGGGGCUUGUAGUGCGCG
rnacentral:rRNA from 1 species